rnacentral:rRNA from 1 species
UGAGCAAUCUGCCCUUCACAUCGGAAUAACCAUUGGAAACGAUGGCUAAUACCGAAUAUGACUUCGGAUCGCAUGAUCUGAAGUGGAAAGCUCCGGCGGUGAAGGAUGAGCUCGCGGCCUAUCAGCUUGUUGGUGAGGUAAUAGCUCACCAAGGCGAUGACGGGUAGCCGGCCUGAGAGGGUGACCGGCCACACUGGGACUGAGACACGGCA